ACAGUGAAUGCCUUGCUUCUCAUCUCCGAAGAAGGACGUACAUGGUCACGAUAGUCGUCGGGUAGGAGCCACGAUCCAUUGAUCCGACGGUGUCCGAAUGGGGAAACCCUUCCAGCUUUGCUGGAAACUUAGCCUCCAAAUGUGUUCCGCAAGGAAUGUUAUAAAGGCUAAUGUGGGAACCGCCCGAACUGAAACAUCUCAGUAGGGCGAGGAAUAUAAAUCAAUUUACCCCCUUUACGGGGGGCGAGAUUCCGUCAGUAGCGGCGAGCGAAAGCGGAACAGUCUAAACCCAGUGCGUUGCACAGGGAAUUUCUAAGUGCUCUAAUUAACCUAAUUAACCUAAAUAAGCACCAAGUACCAAUUUAAAAUUUUGGAAUUGGUAAUUAUUUAGAAAUUAGAAUAAUUAGAAAUUAGGAAUUUCGCGCGCAGCGCGUUGGGGGUUGCAGGAGCCCGACGUGGGAUUAACUUUUGAUAGCAGAAUAGUCUGGAAUGGCUAAUCAUAGGAAGUGAAAAUCUUGUAUGCAAAAUCAAAAGUUACCCUAGGGAAUUCCUAAGUACCACGGAACACAUAUUCUGUGGGAAACGGGGGGAACCAUCCUCCAAGACUAAAUAAGAUGAGAGAGCGAUAGUGAACUAGUACCGUGAGGGAAAGGUGAAAAGCUGAGUGAAACACUCAAUGAAAUAGAACCUGAAACUGUUUGCGAACAAUCCGAUAGAGCCGUGCGUUGCACAAGGAAUUUCUAAGUGCUCUAAUUGCACUAAUUGACCUAAAUAAAACCCAAGCACCAAGUCCAACCAAAAUUUGGAUUUUGGGAAUUGGUAAUUAUUUAGAAAUUAGAAUAAUUAGAAAUUAGGAAUUUCGCGCGCAGCGCGUGGUGAUAUCGUGCCUAUUGAAGA
rnacentral:rRNA from 1 species